rnacentral:tRNA from 1 species
UUCCUGGUGGCUCAGACGGUAAAGCGUCUGCCUGCAAUGCAGGAGACCCGGGUUCGAUCCCUGGGUUGGGAA